ensembl:lncRNA
UUUAGAUUUAAUACAAUUAGAUUGAAAUAUUAAAUAUUACAUUCAAUGCAUUUCAGGAGCUGUAAUAUUAUUAAAAGAAAAAGCAUGUCUGAAAAUAGUUUGUCUUCAUUCUACACAGGCCUACACAAAUAGAUUGAAAGUAUAUGUGGUAGUAGAAUAGAUGCAAUAUUGCAUUCAAAUAUGUACUGAAAUAAGGAUAUUUGUUACUCAUUCAUUCAGGUAUUCAAUACUUAUCCUUUCACUGUGCAAAUCAUUUUAUUUUUUACUAAAAUGUUCAUUUUUACAAAGAAUAACAUUGCACCUAACCCAGCCCAAUCACUGGAAGUAAAACAACCUAUAAGACGAGACCUCAAGUGAUGUCAGCUAAGUCCAUAUGCAAGUGACAGAGAAUCGAGAAAGAGAGUGCGGCUAAGCAAAGGACAAGACAGAAAUGACAGGGAAUUUUGCGCCUGAAUCCUUUUAGUAGCCCAGUGACACAUGAAUGAGUGGAGAAAGAAAGAGAGAGAGGAAGGACGGAGAGGCAGAGAGAGAAUAAGUGAGAGAAAAAAAGUAGACAACCAAUUUGGGAGUAAUGCAACUAAAAACAGACAAGUGUAAUUUCAUCCAUCUGGGCUGAUGUGUAAAAGUGCUGCUCUGAACAUUCCCCAUGAUUCCCUCUGAUUGAUCUCCUCCCGGAUUGAAACGCCUAUUAUUAGCCACGAGCCUAAUAGCAUCAGGAUGGCCCGCCGCUCUCCGAAGGGCCAAUUCUCUGGUCGGUCAUCUCUCCCCUCACUCUCUGCAGCUGUGGAAACCAACAAGAGAGAGGGGGGGUGGGGGAGGGUGGGGGAUGGAGUGAGAGAGCGAGAGAGAGAGCGAGGGGCGAGGAGGUCUGGGUGAGAGUGGGGGAGAGAAAGAGGGGGCAAGGUGAGGAGGAGGAGAUGGAGAGGGGGUGAGGGGGUGGUUGGAAGAGAAAUAGGAUGGAGAUGGGAGAAAAGAGAGGGAUAGGAGGAUUGGGUGAUGAAGAGAAAGAGAAAUAUAGGGUUGGGGGGGUGACAGGCAGUGGUGCUGGUAGUGGGGUAGAACUAAUUAUAAACAUUCCGGGGUUGAAACGGAGAGAAGAGAGAGUGGAGAGAUGGUGAAACAACAAUGAGGAGAGGGAAAUGCAAUACAAACGGUUAAUCAUACAAUUUGAUUGAAGUAUUUGCCAUUUAUCUUCAUAUGUCAUGAUAUUGAAACAACAAAAUGUCUUUGUUCCAUUUCAAUCAUUGAAUUUCCUGUAACGAUUUCACCCCUCAUUGUUCUUGUUCAAAUUCAAGUGGAGUUGUGCUCAAUAUUUAUUUUGUAAAACGGUCAAUUCAUUUAAGAAAAUGUGAAAACACUCUGACUUCUAAAGAUUUCAUGAUUGAAGCUGCAAUUGGACAUGAUUGCCAUCAUGAUGACAGUACUCACGUGACAGGAAAAACAACCAGCCCUAAUAAAUGUGGUUAGACAUUGCUUACUCCUACUCCAUAUCAAAAGUUGGCUGGCUUUCUUUACAUCUAGCUGGACUGGUAUUAGCUUUAAAGGUUAUAUAAAACAGUAUACCCCACUCUGAAUACAAGGACAGAUGGUCAACAAUUUGUUGAAUGCAUCAAGAUAGUAUCUAGUUUGCAGGUUGAUCCAAUGCAACCACUCAUGUUUCAACCCAAUGGAGACCAAUGGUGUCAUAGCUACAUGUAUGUAGUAUUGAAAUAUUUGAUAUGAGGGAGGUGAAUGAGUCAUUUUUGGUUGUUGUUGCAUCAUUGACUUUUGGGUAAUUGUAGUCAUGAUUUAAGGUCUUUGGUCCUUAGUUGAGCACCCAUUCAGUCUCUUUUGAGUAUUUUGAAUGAGCCCUUUGGUGAGGUUUGUUGCAUUUCAAAGCACACUGAUCACAAUGAUUGGCUAGUUGGUUCAAAUGGCCAGAAGUCUAAAAGUCUAAAGCCCUCAACUUGAAAAUGGCAGUUGGAACUAAUGGAAAUAAGAGCUUGGGUACUAAGGCAAUGCAUUAAUAACUAAAUUAUAUGGCUAGCAAUACAAAUUAUGGUCCAGAGUGACCAUAAAACUAAUGCUCUCCUUGUUCUGUGAUCCAGAGCUCCGAAAGUCAAAUGUAGUUUAUAAUGGUUCAAUCAGUAGUAAGGCUGGUCAGAAUGGCUAGCUUGCUUUAACUUCAUACAGUAAGGCUGGUCAGAAUGGCUAGCUUGCUUUAACUUCAUACAGUAAGGCUGGUCGGAAUGGCUAGCUCGCUUUAACUUCAUACAGUAAGGCUGGUCGGAAUGGCUAGCUCGCUGUAACUUCAUACAGUAAGGCUGGUCUGAAUGGCUAGCUCGCUUUAGCUUCAUACAGUAAGGCUGGUCGGAAUGGCUAGCUCGCUGUAACUUCAUACAGUAAGGCUGGUCUGAAUGGCUAGCUCGCUUUAACUUCAUACAGUAAGGCUGGUCUGAAUGGCUAGUUCGCUGUAACUCCAUUCAGUAAGGCUGGUCUGAAUGGCUAGCUCGCUUUAACUUCAUACAGUAAGGCAUAAUAUAAUGAACAUAGUUUCCUAUUCUACAGGCAUUGUGGCAUACAUAAGUACAUAAGUGUUUACAAACGUUAUCAUCUGCAUAGCAUCAAGUCUCUCUUCCUCUUUCAAUAUUAGCCACAUGCAGAAUGUCAUUCACAUAUAUUACCUUAUAUACCCUAUAAGCAAGGCACAAUAAUGCGCAUUCCUCACACUUGCUGUUUAACCAAUGGUCACACUUUUGCAAUUAUCACCUAUCUCUCUGUCAACCAAUGGGCAUACAUCUUGGAAUGUAUUUAUAUGUCAAAUGUACCCAUGUUUUCUUACUUGCUGCAUUACAG